GAGUUUGAUCGUGGCUCAGAUUGAACGCUGGCGGCAGGCCUAACACAUGCAAGUCGAGCGGCAGCGGGUCCUUCGGGAUGCCGGCGAGCGGCGGACGGGUGAGUAAUGCCUAGGAAUCUGCCUGAUAGUGGGGGAUAACGUUCGGAAACGGACGCUAAUACCGCAUACGUCCUACGGGAGAAAGCGGGGGAUCUUCGGACCUCGCGCUAUCAGAUGACGCCGUAGGUCGGAUUAGCUAGUUGGUGAGGUAAUGGCUCACCAAGGCGACGAUCCGUAACUGGUCUGAGAGGAUGAUCAGUCACACUGGAACUGAGACACGGU
rnacentral:rRNA from 1 species